GUGGGAGUGGAAAUUGAGGGCCAGAGAUCACUGGUGACGUAGACCUCAUGUGACCACGAGUCGACGUGUGCAGAAGUCCUGCUAGUCUGGUCCUUGUUCCCGUUUGGGUACCAGCUUCCUUCAGCAGCGGUAGCCGGUGGGGCCAACGGUGGGGAAGGAGAAGGAGUCUACUGGCUGAAAUUUUUCAGGUCUGCUGUUCUGAAAAGGCCGGGAAGAAAAGUGAUCGGAUGAGAAGAUGAGGGAAAUAUUAUGAAGACCCCUGGAGUGGAGAAGUAGUUGUUUUCAAAUAAGAAUAAGUAGAAGAAAAGAAAGGAAGAGG
rnacentral:lncRNA from 1 species